ACGACGGCUGCUACAACGGCAAGGCCCCCAAGACCCACGCCCAGUGCAAGAACCGCGUCGACACCCUCAAGAAAAAGUACAAGCUCGAGAAGGCCCGCCUCUCCUCCGCCGGCGGCCCCGCCGCCGGUAAAUGGGUCUUCUUCGACCGCCUCCACCACCUCAUCGGCGCCGCCACCUCCGCGCCAAAGGCCCAGAUCCCCCCGCCGGUUCCCGUCGCCGCCGCAGCCGCCCGAUCCUUGCAGCACCAUUUCCAGAAAAAAAAGCAGCUCCCCACCCUCGUGGGCGCCGCCGCGGCCGCGGCCGCUGCUGCGGCGGCUGCGCCGCCGUCGCCGGAGUCGUCGGAGAGCUUCCUGCCGGAGACGCCCAAGAACAAGAAGAGGGGAUCCCCUCCUCCGCCGCCGCUGGUGACGAUCGCCAAGAGGGCGGUGGCGGCGGAAGAAGAUCUGAGGGAGGAAGAUCUGAAGGAGCUGACCGGAGCGAUACUCAACCUCGGGGAGGUCUACGAGCGGGUGGAGACCUCGAAGCUGAAGCAGGCGGUGGAGAUGGAGAAGCGGCGGAUGGAGUUCACCAAGGAGCUGGAGCUGCAGCGCAUGCAGUUCUUCGUCAAGACCCAGAUGGAGCUCACCCAACUCAAGCGCCGCCGCCGCUCCAUCCCCGACGCCAUGGACAACAACAGCCACAGUGACAACACCGCCUGAAC
rnacentral:lncRNA from 1 species